AUGGUGAAUGUUGGUGUGAACGGAUUUGGCCUGCAUUGGAUGCCUGGUUACCAGGGCUGCCUUCAUGUCUGGCAAAGUGAACAUUGUUGCCAUCAGUGACCCCUUCAUUGACCUAACUACAUGGUCUACAUGUUUUAGUAUGACUUUUCCCAUGGCCAGUUCAACGGCACAGUCAAGGCUGAGAAUGGGAAGCUGGUCAUCAACAGGAAGGCCACCCCCAUCUUCCAGGAGCGAGAUCCCACCAACAUCAAAUGGGGUGGUGUUGGUGCUGAGUAUGUUGUGGAGUCCACUGGUGUCUUCACCACCAUGGAGAAGGCUGGGGCCCACUUGAAGGGUGGGGCCAAAAGGGUCAUCAUCUCUGCCCCUUCUGCUGAUGCUCCCAUGUUUGUGAUGGCUGUGGACUGUGAGAAGUACGACAACUCACUCAAGAUUGUCAGCAAUGCUUCCUGUACCACCAAUUGCUUAGCCUCCCUGGCCAAGGUCAUCCACGACAACUUUGUCAUUGUGAAGGACUCAUGACCACAGUCCACGCCAUCACUGCCACUUAGAAGGGUAUGGAUGGUCCCUCUGGGAAGCUGUGGCGCGAUGGCCGUGGGGCUACCCAGAACACCAUCCCUACAUCCACUGGUGCUGUCAAGGCUGUGGACAAGGUUAUCUGGACCAGAAGCUUAUAGGCAUAGCCUUCUGUGUUGCUACCCCCAAUGCAUCCAUCUUGGAGCUUUCGUGCCACCUGAAGAAAACUGACAAGUAUGAUUACAUCAAGAAGGAGGUGAAGCAGGCAUCUGAGGGCCCACUAAAGGGCAUCCUGGGCCACACUGAGGACCAGGUUGUCUCCUGUGACUUUAACAGUGACUCCCACUCUUCCAUCUUUGAUGCUUGGGCUGGCAUUACUCUUGAUUACAACUCUGUAAAGCUCACUUCCUGGUAUGACAACGAAUAUGGCUACAGCAAUAGGGUGGUGGACCUCAUGGCCCACAUGGCCUCCAAGGAGUAAGAAGCCUGCCCUGGACCGCUCACCCCAGCAAGGACAGGAGAGCAAGAGAGAGGUCCUCGGCUGCUGAGCAGUCCCUGACCCAACUCAGCCCCGACACUGAGCAUCUCCCUCACUUUCCAUC